UGGGAUUUCGUUAUAGCGAGAAACUUGCUGUCUUGCACUAUGCAAUCUGUUACAGUCAGUCAACUUUCUUUGUAUUUUUUACCAUGAUCCUUUUUAAACUGGGUUAAGUGCUAAAUAUCAAAGUUGUAACUCUUCCUCUUAGCUUUCCAUAGUUCUAAGAAUUGUGAUUGGAGUUUUGUAGCUCAAGAUAUGCUCUGAUUACUGCAGCAUGGUUUGAGGUCAACUUAAGCAAAAGUGCAUAAUCCUUUGCAAAUUUGACUUCCAAGCUCUUUGGCACCUUCAUUAACAUAUAGCAUAAUCAAUAGAAGGUACAAACAAGACUUAAUAACAUGAAAAUAAACUCAAAUUACUUAAUUAAACUAUUAAAGCAUGCAUAAACUAAAUACUAAGAAAAAUUAUAAAAACAUCAAAGGCCUAAAUUAAUUAAAAACAAGAGGAUGUUAGUCAUUUUUAAGCUCAAAAGAAUGCAAGACAACUCUAUAAAAUAGAGUUUUCAGAUGGCGCAUUAUGAAUCCCAAAAAUUUACCAAAAGAUACUUUAAAGGCACACUUUAAGGGAUUCAUCUUCAAUUAAUAUAGAUGCAAUUGUUCUCUAGAAAAGAUACAUAGAAACCUCUAGAAAAAGGCCUAUAAACAUUUUAAGAUAUUUUUAAUGGCUUUUGAUCAUAGAUUUUCCAUGGACAAAAAGAGUAGGGAGUGAACAAAAAAGAAGUCAUGAUUAAUGGUGGCUAGAUAGCAGCUUUGCUGGUUUAAUCUGUAUUAAAGAAAAAUGUUGAAGUUAAAACUUAAAACCAAUGCUGAAAAACUUAGUUAAAAAUUGAACAUAUAGCUAUCUCAGCAUUUCAGUUUUACCUUGAAAACAAAUCAUUAAAUAAUAAAUAAAAACUGGUUAGCAUAUGCAGGCCAAAAAAUUGACUUAUAAGCUAAUAGUAGUGUAAUAAAAGAAUGAUGAAAUUCCAAAACUAAUGUGCAUCUAAUUAAUUUCUUUCCUUGAAUUUUCUUCAGAUGAUUUGAAAAAUAAACUUAAAAGGAAAAAUGUAGCUUCCUUAAUCAAUUUAGAUAACCUGAGCAGACAAAACAUGAAUUUCCUUAUUAUUUUUCUUAUAUAUCUGAAGUUUCUGUAGCAAAAACUAAAGCUUACUUUAACGUGGAAUUGUGUAGCAAAAACGUUCUUCUGUGACUUCAAGAAUAGAUAUCAUCUGUCCCAAAAAGGAUAGGAUAUAUAUUCCCUAACAAUUGUCAGCUGUCAGGGAAGGAUAUCAACCAUAAUACUAUCUCCCCUUUCUCUCUCAUAUCCUCUCCCUCUCUAUUCUUUUCUUCUCUUCCUCCUUUGAUGAGUU
rnacentral:lncRNA from 1 species